AGUCGAGCGGGCGUAGCAUACGGCAGCGGCAGACGGGUGAGUAACGCGUGGGAACAUACCUUUUGGUUCGGAACACACAGGGAAACUUGUGCUAAUACCGGAUAAGCCCUUACGGGGAAAGAUUUAUCGCCGAAAGAUUGGCCCGCGUCUGAUUAGCUAGUUGGUGAGGUAACGGCUCACCAAGGCGACGAUCAGUAGCUGGUCUGAGAGGAUGAUCAGCCACAUUGGGACUGAGACACGGCCCAAACUCCUACGGGAGGCAGCAGUGGGGAAUAUUGGACAAUGGGCGAAAGCCUGAUCCAGCCAUGCCGCGUGAGUGAUGAAGGCCCUAGGGUUGUAAAGCUCUUUUGUGCGGGAAGAUAAUGACUGUACCGCAAGAAUACGCCCUCGGCUUAUUUCGUGCCCGCGCCCGCGGCAAUAC
rnacentral:rRNA from 1 species